CACAGAAUUGGUGCCGUAAGUGUGAAAGACGUGCUGUUGAGGAAUGACAGAGCAGUUCUCCUUUGGCAGAGAGAACAUGCACAAGCAUUCUUCUGGUUUGACAAAGGAGAAUUAUUGUCCUGUCAAUUUCUAACAGUUUAUGAUCAAUGCAUUAAUUAAAAUAGCUGUUUUCUUUUCUUUUUCAUUUUCUGCUAGAGACAUGUUUUAGAUUAUUGUGACAGUAAUAAAUCCAUUUACUUUCCUCCUUAACUAUCGAUUAUAUGCGGAUAAUUCUUCUAAAACUAAUGCCUUUUUUUUCAGAUGUGAGGAAAAUGGACAGUGAAGAAAUUCAAUUUUAAUUACGUGACGUGGAAGUGGAAAAUAGCAGAGAUUUUCCAAGAUUAUGCCCUUCACAUGAAAAGCAUCCACAGGAAAUGGCUUGUCUGUGGAAAGUAGCCACAAGAAAACUCUUAUUCAAUAUCAUGUGAUUAAAUUAAUCAAAAGUGAAAUUUAGGCUAGUAAUUUUUGUUAGCUACAUUGCUAUUUAACUGUAUACAAGUUAGAAUACUAAAUAAACUACCUACAGAAGGCAGAAGGAUCAUACAUCGUGUUCUUUAUUUGACAGAUAUUAAUAUUCUCUCAAUGUUUAACAACAGAGGAG
rnacentral:lncRNA from 1 species